GACGUAGGGGGCCAGCGUUGCUCGGAAUUACUGGGUGUAAAGGGUUCGUAGGCGGUGUGGCAAGUCGGGAGUGAAAUCUCUGGGCUCAACCCAGAGUCUGCUUCCGAAACUGCUGUGCUUGAGUGUGGGAGAGGCGCGUGGAAUUGCAGGUGUAGCGGUGAAAUGCGUAGAUAUCUGCAGGAACACCCGUGGCGAAAGCGGCGCCGCUGGACCACUACUGACGCUGAGGAACGAAAGCUAGGGGAGCAAACAGG
rnacentral:rRNA from 1 species